rnacentral:tRNA from 1 species
GGCAAGAUGGCCGAGCGGUCUAAGGCGCUAGGGUCAGGUCACCUGAUCACCUAUGUUCUUCGGAAUAUUCCUAGUCUCGAAAGGGGCGUGGGUUCGAAUCCCACUCUUGUCA